rnacentral:rRNA from 1 species
AGAGCGAACGCUGGCGGCAGGCCUAAUACAUGCAAGUCGAACGCACCUUCGGGUGAGUGGCGGACGGGUGAGUAACACGUGGGAACGUGCCCUUUGGUUCGGAAUAAUCCGGGGAAACCUGGCCUAAUACCGGAUGUGCCCUUCGGGGGAAAGAUUUAUCGCCAUUGGAGCGGCCCGCGUCUGAUUAGCUAGUUGGUGGGGUAAAGGCCCACCAAGGCGACGAUCAGUAGCUGGUCUGAGAGGAUGAUCAGCCACACUGGGACUGAGACACGGCCCAGACUCCUACGGGAGGCAGCAGUAGGGAAUCUUGCGCAAUGGGCGAAAGCCUGACGCAGCCAUGCCGCGUGAAUGAUGAAGGUCUUAGGAUUGUAAAAUUCUUUCAGCGGGGAAGAUAAUGACUGUACCCGCAGAAGAAGCUCCGGCUAACUUCGUGCCAGCAGCCGC